UACGAAGGGGGCUAGCGUUGCUCGGAAUCACUGGGCGUAAAGCGCACGUAGGCGGAUUGCUAAGUCAGGGGUGAAAUCCUGGAGCUCAACUCCAGAACUGCCUUUGAUACUGGCGACCUUGAGUCCGGGGGAGGUGAGUGGAACUGCGAGUGUAGAGGUGAAAUUCGUAGAUAUUCGCAAGAACACCAGUGGCGAAGGCGGCUCACUGGCCCGGUACUGACGCUGAGGAGCGAAAGCGUGGGGAGCGAACAGG
rnacentral:rRNA from 1 species